GGCUUGAUAGUUCAGUUGGUAGAAUACAUGCUUUGGGUGUUCUUACAAAGAAGUAUGUGGUCCUGGGUUCGAUUCCCAGUCAAGCCC